UACGGAGGAUGCGAGCGUUAUCCGGAUUUACUGGGUGUAAAGGGAGCGUAGGCGGCUUAGUAAGUCAGAAGUGAAAGCCCGCAGCUCAACUGCGGGACUGCUUUUGAAACUGCCAAGCUAGAGUGUCGGAGAGGUAAGUGGAAUUCCUAGUGUAGCGGUGAAAUGCGUAGAUAUUAGGAGGAACACCAGUGGCGAAGGCGGUCUGCUGGACAGCAACUGACGCUGAGGCGCGAAAGCGUGGGGAGCAAACAGG
rnacentral:rRNA from 1 species